rnacentral:pre_miRNA from 1 species
UUAACUCUAAGUUGUAUGCAGUUGAAACGUUUGCUUACGUUUGUCGCUAGGGGCGCUGUUCCAACUCCAUACAUAUUGAGUUA